AGUCGUAACAAGGUUUCCGUAGGUGAACCUGCGGAAGGAUCAUUACCACACACAAAAAUACUACAUGUGAACCGAAUUGUUUGUUACUUGUAUUAUAUUUACUAUAAUAUAAGUUUUAAUAAAACUCUUUUGUUAUUUAAAUUAUUUAUUGCCUAACAAAAACUUUCAGCAGUGGAUGUCUAGGCUCGCAAAACGAUGAAGAACGCAG
rnacentral:misc_RNA from 1 species